UCCACAUCGCCACACACUUCACAUAACACAGCUUGUGAAGAAAACACAUUGUCACUCAAUGCUUUGAAAAAGACACAGAGAACAGAUCCAAAUGGCUCUAUGAAAAAGCCACUACAAGAUAGUCAAACUGUUUUGUCUUUUGAGCCACUGGCGCACUGGGAUCUGGACCAGAUUCUUCUGACUCUUCAAACAGAUGGACUCUUUUUAGAAGGCAGUGUGUCUGACGAACCUAUGGAAGUACAACCAGAUGGAGACAAUGUAAGGUCACAGGAUACUAUAUUGGAGAGUCGGACUGCUUUCUGUAGGACACAGUCAUGUGGAGAUGCUGAAGAGAAAAGAGAAACUGCGCCAGAUAAAACCUCUGGUGUGCC